rnacentral:rRNA from 1 species
UGGGGAAUAUUGGGCAAUGGGCGCAAGCCUGACCCAGCAACGCCGCGUGAAGGAAGAAGGCUUUCGGGUUGUAAACUUCUUUUAAGUGGGAAGAGCAGAAGACGGUACCACUUGAAUAAGCCACGGCUAACUACGUGCCAGCAGCCGCGGUAAUACGUAGGUGGCAAGCGUUGUCCGGAUUUACUGGGUGUAAAGGGCGUGCAGCCGGGCAUGCAAGUCAGAUGUGAAAUCUCAGGGCUUAACCCUGAAACUGCAUUUGAAACUGUAUGUCUUGAGUGCCGGAGAGGUAAUCGGAAUUCCUUGUGUAGCGGUGAAAUGCGUAGAUAUAAGGAAGAACACCAGUGGCGAAGGCGGAUUACUGGACGGUAACUGACGGUGAGGCGCGAAAGCGUGGGGAGCGAACAGGAUUAGAUACCCUGGUAGUCCACGCUGUAAACGAUGGAUACUAGGUGUGCGGGGACUGACCCCCUGCGUGCCGCAGUUAACACAAUAAGUAUCCCACCUGGGGAGUACGAUCGCAAGGUUGAAACUCAAAGGAAUUGACGGGGGCCCGCACAAGCGGUGGAUUAUGUGGUUUAAUUCGAAGCAACGCGAAGAACCUUACCAGGUCUUGACAUCCUGCUAACGAAGUAGAGAUACAUUAGGUGCCCUUCGGGGAAAGCAGAGACAGGUGGUGCAUGGUUGUCGUCAGCUCGUGUCGUGAGAUGUUGGGUUAAGUCCCGCAACGAGCGCAACCCCUAUUGUUAGUUGCUACGCAAGAGCACUCUAGCGAGACUGCCGUUGACAAAACGGAGGAAGGUGGGGACGACGUCAAAUCAUCAUGCCCCUUAUGACCUGGGCUACACACGUAAUACAAUGGCGGUCAACAAAGGGAUGCAAAGCCGCGAGGCAGAGCGAACCCCAAAAAGCCGUCCCAGUUCGGAUCGCAGGCUGCAACCCGCCUGCGUGAAGUCGGAAUCGCUAGUAAUCGUGGGUCAGCAUACCACGGUGAAUACGUUCCC